rnacentral:rRNA from 1 species
AUUGAACGCUGGCGGCAGGCCUAACACAUGCAAGUCGAACGAGUGGCGGACGGGUGAGUAAUGUCUGGGAAACUGCCUGAUGGAGGGGGAUAACUCCUGGAAACGGUAGCUCAUACCGCAUACCAUCAGAUGUGCCCAGAUGGGAUUAGCGUGUUGGUGGGUUAACGGCUCACCAAGGCGACGAUCCCUAGCUGGUCUACUAGGAUGACCAGCCACACUGGAACUGAGACACGGUCCAGACGCCUACGGGAGGCAGAAGUGGGGAAUAUUGAACAAUGUGCGCAAGCCUGAUGCAGCCAUGCCGAGUGUAGGAAGAAGGCCUUCGGUUUGUAAAGUACUUUCAGCGGGGAGGCGUUACCCGCAGAAGAAGCACCGGCUAACUCCGUGCCAGCAGCCGCGGUAAUUC